GGUUUCUUAAAUAUUCUAGAUAUUAUCUCUUGCCAGUUUUGAGAUAACUUCUCUCAGGCUAUUCCCUGUCAGUUGACUAUACUGAUGAUGGUUCCUUUCACUGAAUACAAAUUUUUAUUUUUUAUGUAGUCGAUUUUUUUAAUUUUAUGCUGUAAUUUUGGGGUCUUAUUUAAUAAUUUUUUUCCACAACUCAGAAUCACAGAGAUAUUUUCUGAUGAAUUUUUAUUCACUUUAUAGUUUUACCUUUCAUUCUUAAGCCUAUAAUUAAUCCAAAUUUUGUUUUUAAUAAAUAACUUAAUUUUCCCCUUUAUAGUGGCUCAUUUUUUCACUAUCAUCUAAAGAAGAUAACAAUCUUUUCUAUUAGGUCCAUUUCUGUAAACAUGGAAUUGUUAUUGCCCACUCAAUUGCGUUCCACUUAUCUAGUUACAUGUUUUUGUACCAUACUGUCUUAUUUACAUGGCUUUGUAGUAAUCUCCUGUUUUAGAAGUUUUUAUUUUUCUGAAAAAACUAAAUGACACCAUGAUUUUUUUAGUUGCUAAAUUCAAUUUACUAACAUUUGGGUAAGAAUCCUGGCAUCUAUAUUCAUAAGUAAGAACCACAUAAAAUUAUUCUUUCUUGAACUGUUUGUAGCAAAUAUAAUUCCCCUACUUUCUCCCAGCUAAAGGAAGAUAGACUUUGUAGCACAAAUAGAUCUCUAAUUUCAAAGGAAAGUAGGUCCCUCUCUAACCCUAGAAGAUGAAUCAUGAUUUAUUUAAUCCAGUUACAGGAAUUUCACUCUCCUCCACCAGUGAAUUCUAUAGCUAUUUGUGUGUGACCUAGUUCUGGCCAAAAAAACAUAAUAGGAUACAUGCUUGGGAACUUGCUUUUUUCAUAUAUAAAUAGCCUCACUUAGGGAAAGUGUUGCCCUAACUCUUCCUUUCCUUCUAAAGCUUGAGAUUGUGAGGCUCUAAGUUAUAGUAUGAAGUAACAACCAUGAAGACAAAAAGGCAAUACGAAAGACAAAAGAGAAGAAAGAUAGAUAGAAACUAGGCUCCUGAUGGCAUCACUAAACAAGUAAAUUAGUUCUAUCAAUUUUAAGUGCUAUAACGUUCGUUGUGUGAGAAAAGGAAACCCCUGUAUGUUUAAGCAUGGCUGAGUUUUUGUAAAUUGACACUAUAUUCAUCCUCUAUUACACAUUCCCUGUCUGAUACUAGAUUUUCCCAGAAGCAGACCUUAAGAUAAAGAUUCAAGAUCUAAAACUACUUUACAAAUACAAAGUACAAAGAUAUUUGAAAAGGAGAAUAUGUCAAGAUCAAAUUUGCCUCAGAGAAAAGCACAACAGCUGAAAUGAGGAGGGCACAGCAAAGAAGAUGCAUAGACCAUCGGUACCACUUCCCAGGACAUCACAGCCUGAGAUGCUCAGAAGGGAGCUGGGCACUGAGACUCAGGCUCCGGAGGUAAGUUCCAGGGAGAGGACUAGAGUCGGCUCUGUGGAGUCAGCCUGAGGGGCUAUGGAGCAGUGUGCCAAGGGCUGGGAAGCAGAGCAUUGCAGCCCACGGAACCCAGUAGGAGGUAUGGGCCCACAAGAGAAGCAAGACAUCAUUGUUGGGGAGGAAAGAGGAGGAGGUAAAACCACCAAAAAAAUAUCUUUGUCUGCAAUGUGGGCUCUCGGAGGGAGGGGCUACAGGUGGCGAGGUCCCUCUUGAUUGGGCUAUGGAUAGCAGUGCCUUCUGAGUGGGCUAAGUGCAAGAGGGCACCUCUUGCAUGGUCUACAGGAGGCAGGGGCAAGACACCACAGUCAUCUCAGACUCCAGAGGUGGGCAUGGCCGGCCAACACUAGGGAUCCACGAACAGUCACCUCAGGGAUUGGUGCAGAGGAGGGCACUGCAACCGAGUACCACCCAUUGUUGUACUUACUCCCCUGGGAAUGCUCAUGCCCUCCACUUCCAUACACUCCAGGUGCCACCUAUAUCUGCCUGAUGGUCACAGCCACUUCCCAGGGCCCUGCAACUAGGAGCAUCCUAUGUGACCUUCCCAUAGGUCUUUACCACCCGUCAAGGGCCCAGCAUUAAGGCACUGGCUAUUAGCCCUACCAACUGUCUCCAUGUUCCUGGAAGCAUAUUGAGGUUUCUCAGAAAACUAAAUAUAGAACUGCCAUAUGACCCAGCAAUAUCACUCCUGGGCAUCUAAUGUAGACAAACUUUCAUUCAAAAAGAUACAUGCACUCCUAUGUUCAUUGUAGCACUAUUCACAAUAGCCCAGACAUGGAAACAACCUAAAUGUCCAAUGACAAACGAAUGGAUUAAGAAUAUUUGGUAACAUACACACAACGAAAUACUACUCAGCCAUAAAAAAGAACAAAAUAAUGCCAUUUGCAGCAACAUGGAUGGAACUAGGAUUUUCAUACCAAGGGAGGUAAGUUCAGAAAGAGAAAGACAAAUACUAUAUUAUAUAACUUAUACCUGGAAUCUAAUAUAUGGCACAAAUGAACCUAUCUACAGAAAAGAAACAAACUCAUGGACUUGAAGAACAGAGUUGUAGUUAACUACAGGGAGCAGGAGGGAGUGGGAUGGACUGGGAAUUUGGGGUUAGCAGAUGCAAACUAUUGAAUUUGGUAAGCAAUAAGAUCCUGCUGUAUAGCACAGGAAACUAUAUCCAGUCACUUGUGAUGGAACAUGACAGAGGAUAAUGUGAGAAAAUAAUGUAUAUGUAUGUAUAACUGGGUCACUUUGCUGUAUAGCAGAAAUUGACAGAACAUUAUAAACCAACUAUAACAAAAAUUGCUUUAAAAAUUAUCUAUUCAUCAUAAAAAAUUAUCUAUUCAUGUUAAAAAUUGCUACUGUACUAGUAACACAUGAUACCAGCCUAUUAUGUAAAAAAGUAUCUGAAUCCUACUGCAAAAAUUAUGCUGAAUAAUAAAAUAAGGAAAGUUUCAACUUCAAGAAUAAGGACAAGAUAUGGAUGUCUGCUGUCACCAUGUCUAAUCACACUGCCCUAGCUGUUAUAGUAAGGCAAGGCGAGAAAAACAUAAGAAAAAAAUUGGAAGAAAAAAACAAAACUGUUAUUUUUUCCAAGUAAUAUAACAGGUAUGUAUAAAUUCAAAAAAUCUAUAGAUAAACCAUUAUAAUUAAUACAUGAAUUCAGAACAAUCACAAUAUUUUAAAAUUUAUUUUAUGUCUAAAUACCAAUAACAAGUAAACAGAAUCUAAAUUUUAAAAAUUUACAUUUAAAGAAUAUUUAUACUAAGAUUUUUUAAAAAUACCUUAUAGCUUGGAAAAAAUCUAAUGAAAACUAUGUAAAAACUCUACAAAAUAUUACUAAGAGGAAUUAAAUAAGGACUGAAUAAACAUGAGAUAUAGUACAUUCACAUACUGGGUUAAAAUUGUAAAAAUAUUAGUUUUCAUAGUUGAUCUAUAUAUUCAAUGAAAUUACAAACAAAAUUCCAGCAGGUGUGUAUGUACACAUGUAAAAACUGGCUAAGUUAAUUGCUAUAUGGAAAUUAAAAAGGUCAAUGAUAGUUCUGACCUCUUUAAGGAAAAACAAAUUGGAAAAUGUUCACUACUGGAGAUAAAGCCACUUUAAGACAGUGAUAUACUGAUGCAAAGAAAGCAAUAGAGAACUAAGACUAACCCUGAGCCCCAGGGGAUCACAAAAUCAGUCACAUGGAAGUUGGUAAGAAAAUUCAUGGUACUCACCACAGCCCCCUCUCCUUCUCAAGAUGGCACAAUCAGGAGAAAAUUCCAAGGGCUUAGCUUCUUCCUGGGGAGAGGAAGAAAAGACUUAAACAUAUAUCUAACAUUCAAACACUGGGGAGGUGGGAAGGAAAUGCCUUAAUCUAAGCACUUAGAAGAACGAGCGUCAUAUUGGACGCCAUUGAGAACAAAGGUAAUGUUUUGGAGCACUCACUAGCCAUGGUCCCUUCCCCAGCUCAGUGGGAAAUUCUCAGCUUCUGGGGAGGGAAAGAGUUGGAACGUACGUCUGGCAUUCUAUCUUUUCUGUGGGCUGCCUAAGAACUAGUAUCUACCUCCUGUGCCAGCACUGAUGGGACAUGAUAUACUCUAGAUGCACAGAGGGCUGCUGAACAACAGAAGGGAGCUGGGCAGCUUGCUGCUGCUCAAGAGGACCUGCAGAACAGCAGACAGAGGCUGAUACAGCUCCACAGCCCAUCUCUUAGGGGAAGGAGAGGAGUGAAGCAUGUGCCCAAAAUUCUGAGUGCUGAAAGAAAAAAAAAAUACUGCCAACCAAGGAUACUACAUCCAGUGAAACUGCUUCAAAAAUGGAGAAGAAACAAAGCUGGGGGAAUUCACCUUCACAAGAUCUGCUAUACAAAAAAAAAAAAAAAAAAA
rnacentral:lncRNA from 1 species